rnacentral:misc_RNA from 1 species
CUUAACCUUGCUAAGCAGCCUGGAAGCACAGUGCAAAUUCUUGGAGCCGAGAAGGCUCUGUUCAGAGCUCUGAAAACAAAGCAUGCAACCCCGAAGUAUGGUCUUAUCUACCAUGCAUCCUUAAUUGGUCAAGCAGCUCCAAAGCUCAAAGGAAAAAUUUCUCGGUCUCUUGCUGCUAAAACUGCAUUGGCAAUUAGGUGUGAUGCUUUGGGUGAUGGCCAAGAUAACUCCAUGGGACUUGAAAACCGUGCCAAGCUGGAAGCAAGGUUAAGGAGCCUUGAGGGCAGAGAGUUGGGACGUGUUGCUGGGUCAGCUAAAGGCAAACCUAAAAUCGAGGCCUAUGACAAGGACCGAAAGAAGAGCAUCGGUGGCUUGAUAACUGCUGCCAAGACGUAUAAUCCCGCAGCCGAUUCGCUCCUUGGAAAACUUGAGAAGGCUUACGAGGAGGAAGCAGAGGCUCCAGUAACUGGCGAAGAGAAGAAAGAAAAGAAGAAGAAAAAGAAG